AUGGUUUGCAGUUGCAGUACUGCUUCUGAAGCUAAACAACCCACGCAUUGGUCGAAAAAAUACUGCCAAAUCAAAGAGUUGCUACAAAUACAAACACGGCCCCCUACCUCUCCUCAAGGAACCGAAUGUGAGGAGCAAGAUCGAACAUGGGGCUAAUCGCGGAAUGGAAGUGACCCGAGGAAACCAAGGUUUAAGUGCCUCUACGGGUUCAGGACCAGCGGAAAGAUUUUUAAGGAACAGAUCCAUAAGUGACCGGAGUCCUUUCUGAAGAGGGCCGACCUUGUCUUCCCCAGUGGUCUCUUCCCGGCACAGGGCAAGUCCGAUGUCGAAGGCAUCUAUGAUCCUCCCUAUUAUGAAUGGUUCCAAUACAACCAGAGGAUCUCAUAACGAAUGCUGAAUCUUUGGAACAAUGCCUUCUGCGAUGCGAAGGAAUAUACAAUUUACAUGAAUCUCGAGGAAUGCUUCGAGUACGUAGAAGAUUUGAUCAUCAAGCAUGGACCGAUUGAUGAGUUGUUGGUUUUCUCACGGGGGGAAAUUUUGUCGGUGGUGCUCACAGGACUGCAAGCUAAGGCACGAGGAUUGGCAAUACACACUAUACUUACUAAGACCCUCACCCACUCGAGCAAAUAUUACAUGAGUAUUAUUCAUUUAAUUAAAUUAGUCAUUCCAGUGAGAAAGUUUGUAAGUGAAAAAUGACAAAGUAGUCAUCGUAUAAAUUUUCAUUUAGGGGCAUUCUGAUUGAAUAAUAUAUAUUUAGAGUAAAAUACAGUUUGUCCCCUGAGCAUUAAGCCUAGUAGCAAAGUGCUCCAAAACCUUUAAAAAUUUUCACUAUACCACCCAACCUAUCGAAAAAGGAGCAAAGUCCACCCCCAACUACUUUUUCCGAUCACUUUUUCUGCCAAAAUUUAUUUAUUUUUAAUUUAUUGAUAUUCAACAUUUACCAAUAGUCUCAAAAAUAAAAAGAAAAGAGGAACAUAAGAGAAGAAUGUCCCCUAGAGGCAACAAACAAACCCAACAAUCCAUACGCAUUAUUCUUCGAACAGAACAAAUGAGUAUUAUCAUACAAAUUGCAAGCAAACAACAAUUUGGGCAAACAAUUCUACAACAUGAAUCCCUAUGCUUUUAGAUCCAUUCAUUACCUCAACAAUCCCAUCACAGUACAUGGUUAUGCGACAAUUACUUAAAAUUAGUAAAAUCGAUUCCCCUUUAUAUGAUGCGAGAGAGAGACGGAGGCAAUGAACAAUAAUAACCAGUUUUCGAACAUAAUCGAUACAACAAAAGACAACAGAUCAUUGGAGUAUACGGAAAUUACAAGUCCAAUCUUGAAGCUCGAGGAAUUGCUAUGAACUACGAGCUCUCAGAUUUGCAUGAAAGUCCAGCAAAAUAGUGGAGCAACUUCACCGGUGAAAUUGAUUGAGCGUGUUUGGUUUCAAGGAUUUAGGGAGAAAUUCUUCCCUCGCCCUAAAUGACGAUCUUAUGUUCUUAUUUUUUUUUCCUUUUUUUUUGUUUUUGAAAUUAUUUCAUAACUGCUGAAUUUAAUUAAUUAAUAAAAUAUAAAAUAUGCCUGAAAAAGUUACUAGAAAGUAGUCAUGGUGCACUUUGCUUCUUUUUUGAUAUGUUGUGGGGUAUUGUGCAAAAUUUUGAAGGUCAGAAGGCACUCUGUUAUUAAGC